rnacentral:rRNA from 1 species
AACGAACGCUGGCGGCAGGCCUAACACAUGCAAGUCGAGCGCCCUUUCGGGGGAGCGGCGGACGGGUGAGUAACGCGUGGGAAUACGCCCUUCUCUACGGAAUAGCCUCGGGAAACUGAGAGUAAUACCGUAUACGCCCUGUGGGGGAAAGAUUUAUCGGGGAAGGAUUAGCCCGCGUUGGAUUAGGUAGUUGGUGGGGUAAUGGCCUACCAAGCCGACGAUCCAUAGCUGGUUUGAGAGGAUGAUCAGCCACACUGGGACUGAGACACGGCCCAGACUCCUACGGGAGGCAGCAGUGGGGAAUCUUAGACAAUGGGGGCAACCCUGAUCUAGCCAUGCCGCGUGAGUGAUGAAGGCCUUAGGGUUGUAAAGCUCUUUCAGCUGGGAAGAUAAUGACGGUACCAGCAGAAGAAGCCCCGGCUAACUCCGUG